ensembl:misc_RNA Metazoa_SRP Metazoan signal recognition particle RNA
GCCGGGCGUGGUGGCGUGCACCUGUAAUUCCAGCUACUCGGAAGGCUGAGGCAGAAGAAUCGCUUGAACCCGGGAGGUGGAGGUUGCAGUGAGCUGAGAUUGCGCUGCUGCACUCCAGCCUGGGCAACAGAGCGAGAUUCUGUCUCAA